rnacentral:lncRNA from 1 species
GGAUCGACUCACUAGCACACACAGUUUCAAGAUGUAAUAUCAUAGAACAAAGGUCUCAAUAUUACAACGAAUCAUCCAGAAUUUAAAGGUACUUACAACUCGCAUAACCUCACGGGUUAGCUCGAAAUAAAACAACUGUUUAGCAGCGGAAAACGAAAGAUACAAGGGCACAUCAACACCACGGUGAGAGCGUGUUGGAAUGUAAGCCCGUAACCCAAACAAGCAGAACGUACAUCUUACUCGUCGUCGGAGCUUCCUGCAUCAUUAAACGAUGCAGCCACUAUGGUCAAUACAUUGAAUGUAUUGGCAAGAUUCACUAUGAGUUAUAUCAGAGCCUACCAAGUAUAAGCGGUAUUUGGCAAGGUGGAGUUCAGGCUGUUUGCGUGGAAGCAGAACAUAAAUUACCCUACUACAAAGGAAUGUUAUAAUAAUGUUAACUAUUGGACACGGGGUAGACACACCCAUGCUCCUAUUAACCUAGAGCACAUUGAAGUGGAUUCAUCAAGUGCCCCUACCCUGUUCAACCAUUCAUUUUAUUUAAGAAAUUGGAAUGACUGAGACUUUCCUUACAGCUCCACAUCUAGUCGCUCAAAAUGUCCGUUGCGGAGGACACGGCUAAGUACUUAGUUUUGACGCUCUCGAGAGUUUGUACACAUUCCCCACAAGAAACCGACGUGUUAAUCCCUUGCUGUCCUCAGGGUAGAGUAGCAACGGCAUCGAUUACGAGAUUUUCAGAGGUAAUUCCCUAAACCACGAGAGAAUCACGCUCCCCCUACACGGCUACCUCAGUACAAUUCCUCGGGUCUCGGUUCAUACAACUUACUCUUGUCUCGCCAGAGCCCAUAUAGCAUUGUGGUUGUAGUAGAAGCUUCUAAAUAGGAAACUAGUCCAGUCUCUGUUACCCCAGGUGGCAUUCCACAUUUGCAACGUAGGCGCUCCCCGAAUCCACGGGAGAGACGUCCAUGGACGAUCCAUUCCUAAAUCCACAGGAACUCGACCCAGAGGGACCCACAGAAAUGGACCUGACGCCGCUAAUCCUCAAAAUCUUCAAAGCAGCCCACCCAGGACGGUUCAUUGAAUUAUUUGUUUUGCCUUACUUCUAACAAAACAUUUCAUAUCGCCAAAGGCAUAACAAUAUCAUAAUGUAGUUAUUUUCCCCACGAUACUACCAUAGCCUAGCAUUCAACUACAAUCGAUGGCAAUUUUUGUAGCAAGGUAAUGGCGAGGUUAAACUAGACUACCUGAGAUUUAUAGCAAGCAUAGAAGUACGAGUAAUAUUGCUGAUGCAUCUAAUAAAACAUCUAGUGCAUAGUAAAAAUAUUUAGGAGAAUGAUUAAAGUGAACUUGCCUUGUCCAAGGUUGUGGUAGUUCUCGCACUCUUCGCAACA